UAAGCGGAGGAAAAGAAACUAACAAGGAUUCCCCUAGUAACGGCGAGUGAAGCGGGAAGAGCUCAAAUUUGAAAUCUGGCAGUCUUCGAUUGUCCGAGUUGUAAUCUAUAGAGGCGUUUUCCGUGCCGGACCGUGUCCAAGUCUCCUGGAAAGGAGUAUCAAAGAGGGUGAUAAUCCCGUACUUAACACGACCACCGGUGCUCUGUGAUACGUCUUCUACGAGUCGAGUUGUUUGGGAAUGCAGCUCAAAAUGGGUGGUGAAUUCCAUCUAAAGCUAAAUAUUGGCGAGAGACCGAUAGCGAACAAGUACCGUGAGGGAAAGAUGAAAAGCACUUUGGAAAGAGAGUUAAACAGUACGUGAAAUUGUUGAAAGGGAAACGAUUGAAGUCAGUCGUGUUCUUUGGAUUCAGCCAGUUCUGCUGGUCUACUUCCUUGGAACGGGUCAACAUCAGUUUUGUCCGGUGGAUAAAGGUAGUAGGAAUGUGACUUCUCCGGAAGUGUUAUAGCCUAUUAUCACAUACACUGGGUGAGACUGAGGACUGCAGCUCGCCUUUAUGGCCGGUCUUCGGACACGUUCGAGCUUAGGAUGUUGACAUAAUGGCUUUAAACGACCCGUCUUGAAACACG
rnacentral:rRNA from 1 species